rnacentral:tRNA from 1 species
ACCUGGCUGGUUCAGUAGGUAAAGCAUGUGACUUUUGAUCUCAGGGUUGUGAGUUCAAACCUUAUGUUCGGUU